rnacentral:rRNA from 1 species
GAUGAACGCUGGCGGCGUGCCUAAUACAUGCGAGUCGAGCGAACAGACGAGGAGCUUGCUCCUUUGACGUUAGCGGCGGACGGGUGAGUAACACGUGGGUAACCUACCUAUAAGACUGGGAUAACUUCGGGAAACCGGAGCUAAUACCGGAUAAUAUUUCGAACCGCAUGGUUCGAUAGUGAAAGAUGGCUUUGCUAUCACUUAUAGAUGGACCUGCGCCGUAUUAGCUAGUUGGUAAGGUAACGGCUUACCAAGGCAACGAUACGUAGCCGACCUGAGAGGGUGAUCGGCCACACUGGAACUGAGACACGGUCCAGACUCCUACGGGAGGCAGCAGUAGGGAAUCUUCCGCAAUGGGCGAAAGCCUGACGGAGCAACGCCGCGUGAGUGAUGAAGGUCUUCGGAUCGUAAAACUCUGUUAUUAGGGAAGAAUAAACGUGUAAGUAACUGUGCACGUCUUGACGGUACCUAAUCAGAAAGCCACGGCUAACUACGUG